CCUAAAUCUGAAUCAAUUCAUCCUAAAUCUGAGUUGGUUCAUCCUAAAUCUGAAUCAGCUGAGCAGUCCAUCCUAAAUCUGAGCAGUCCGUCCUAAACCUGACCCAUCCAUCCUAAACCUGACCCAGUUUGGAGCAGUCCAUCCCAAACCCUGUUGGCCCUUCCCUUGGUGGAGCUUUUCUAUUUCUAUUUCUGCCCCCACACAACAUUCAAGGGAUUUUUUGGGGGGUUUUGCUGUUCCCUGGAACGAAACAAAUGUGACCUUUCAGCCCCUCUUUGCUGCUGAUCUUUAACAGAAGUGAAAACAAGAACUAGAAAUGCCUUUUAUUAAAAUGUCUU